rnacentral:rRNA from 1 species
UGGGGAAUAUUGGACGAUGGGCGCAAGCCUGAUCCAGCCAUGCCGCGUGGAUGAUGAAGGCCCUAGGGUUGUAAAGUCCUUUCGGCGGGGAAGAUAAUGACGGUACCCGCAGAAGAAGCCCCGGCUAACUUCGUGCCAGCAGCCGCGGUAAUACGAAGGGGGCUAGCGUUGCUCGGAAUCACUGGGCGUAAAGCGCACGUAGGCGGCUUUCUAAGUCGGUGGUGGAAUCCUGGGGCUCAACUCCAGGACUGCCUCCGAUACUGGAGAGCUCGAGUCCGGGAGAGGUGAGUGGAACUGCGAGUGUAGAGGUGAAAUUCGUAGAUAUUCGCAAGAACACCAGUGGCGAAGGCGGCUCACUGGCCCGGUACUGACGCUGAGGUGCGAAAGCGUGGGGAGCAAACA